rnacentral:rRNA from 1 species
UACAGAGGUCUCAAGCGUUGUUCGGAUUCAUUGGGCGUAAAGGGUGCGUAGGUGGCGCCGUAAGUCCGGUGUGAAACCUUGGGGCUCAACCCCAAGCCUGCACUGGAUACUGUCGAGCUCGAGUCCGGGAGGGGAGAGCGGAAUUCCUAGUGUAGCGGUGAAAUGCGCAGAUAUUAGGAAGAACACCCGUGGCGAAGGCGGCUCUCUGGGACGGUACUGACGCUGAGACGCGAAAGCGUGGGGAGCGAACAGG